CACCUGAGUACAUUAUCGGUCAUGCUACGGUAUACAAGUUUUUAAUAAUUUGCAUUAUUCAAAUAGAUCCAGGUUUAUAGGUGCGGCAUGACCAGUUGACAUUGUAGCCAGCUUGCAAUUGAAUAAUGUACAAUAUCAUAUUAUAUAUAAACAAUAAUAAUACUUAAAUGAAUCAUUGGACAUGUAGAAUUUAAUAACAAUUUCAUAUACAGAAAUAUUAAGUCAGUUUUUGACCCAAUUAUCGUUUUAAUGACACCUUCAAAGUAAUCUGUGAUCAGACCUAUAAAUAAAUAAAUAGGCCUGAUACAAACCUUAAAGACCAUGUAAAAUCCGUUCUGUGCAUACGUUCUGUGCAGGCUUACAUUCCAAUAGUUGGGACCCGACCGUUGGAAUGUUAUUAAUAUUUUGUAUGUUUUGAACUUUCUUGAAAUGAAUCUCUAUAGUCUGUAUUCAUUUACAAGUAUAGCGAACCAGAAGAGUGUUAAAAAUUCAGUAUAAUAUAUAUCUAAUCAUAUUUUGUAACUGUAGCACUGAGUUCAAAAUGUAAAC